rnacentral:rRNA from 1 species
AUUGAACGCUGGCGGCAGGCUUAACACAUGCAAGUCGAGCGGUAGCACAGGGGAGCUUGCUCCCUGGGUGACGAGCGGCGGACGGGUGAGUAAUGUCUGGGAAACUGCCUGAUGGUGGGGGAUAACUACUGGAAACGGUAGCUAAUACCGCAUAACGUCGCAAGACCAAAGAGGGGGACCUUCGGGCCUCUUGCCAUCAGAUGUGCCCAGAUGGGAUUAGCUAGUAGGUGGGGUAAUGGCUCACCUAGGCGACGAUCCCUAGCUGGUCUGAGAGGAUGACCAGCCACACUGGAACUGAGACACGGUCCAGACUCCUACGGGAGGCAGCAGUGGGGAAUAUUGCACAAUGGGCGCAAGCCUGAUGCAGCCAUGCCGCGUGUGUGAAGAAGGCCUUCGGGUUGUAAAGCACUUUCAGCGAGGAGGAAGGUGGUGAGCUUAAUACGUUCAUCAAUUGACGUUACUCGCAGAAGAAGCACCGGCUAACUCCGUG